UCCUUAGAUGUUCUGGGCCGCACGCGUGCUACACUGAUGCAUUCAACGAGUCUAAAACCUGGUCUGAUAGGGCUGGGUAAUCUUUUGAAAGUGCAUCGUGAUUGGGAUAGAUGAUUGCAAUUCUUCAUCUUCAACGAGGAAUGCCUAGUAAACGCAAGUCAUCAGCUUGCAUUGAUUACGUCCCUGCCCUUUGUACACACCGCCCGUCGCUCCUACCGAUUGAAUGAUCCGAUGAAUACCAUGGAUUGAGAGUACGAAUAGGUUCGCUUAUUUCUGCUGCUCGAGAAGUGGAGUAAAUCUUAUCAUUUAGAGGAAGGAGAAGUCGUAACA
rnacentral:rRNA from 1 species